rnacentral:rRNA from 1 species
UAAUCGUGAUUAAGUGAAUAAGGGCGUACGGUGGAUGCCUAGGCACUUGGAACUGAAGAAGGACGCAACAAACGGCGAAACGCGACGGGGAGUGGUACGUACACAAAGAUCCGUCGAUAUCCGAAUGGGGAAACCCGGCAGCAGUAAUGAGCUGUCACCCAUGAGUGAAUACAUAGCUCAUGAGGGAGGUACCCGGAGAACUGAAACAUCUAAGUAUCCGGAGGAAAAGAAAAUAAGAAUGAUUCCGUAAGUAGCGGCGAGCGAACGCGGAGGAGCCCAAACCAGAUCUUGAUCUGGGGUUGUAGGACCACGAAAUGGCAAGAGCAUGGCUAAGAGAACGGCAUUGAAAGGCCGACCGGAGAGGGUGCAAGUCCCGUAACUGAAAGUCUAGCGAAGCCUAGUGGUAUCCUGAGUACGGCGAGACACGAGAAAUCUUGUCGGAAGCAGGCGGGACCAUCCGUCAAGGCUAAAUAUACCCAAGUGACCGAUAGUGAACCAGUACCGUGAGGGAAAGGUGAAAAGAACCGCGGGAGCGGAGUGAAAUAGAACCUGAAACCGUAUGCUUACAAGAAGUCAGAGCCCGUUAAAGGGUGAUGGCGUGCCUUUUGUAGAAUGAACCGG